rnacentral:rRNA from 1 species
CACGUAGGGCGCAAGCGUUGUCCGGAAUUAUUGGGCGUAAAGAGCUUGUAGGCGGUCUGUUGCGUCUGCUGUGAAAACCCGGGGCUUAACCCCUGGCUUGCAGUGGAUACGGACAGACUAGAGGUAGGUAGGGGAGAAUGGAAUUCCCGGUGUAGCGGUGAAAUGCGCAGAUAUCGGGAGGAACACCGGUGGCGAAGGCGGUUCUCUGGGCCUUGCCUGACGCUGAGGAGCGAAAGCGUGGGGAGCGAACAGG